rnacentral:rRNA from 1 species
CGUAGGGGGCGAGCGUUGUCCGGAUUUACUGGGCGUAAAGCGCGCGUAGGCGGAAGAUUAAGCGUGCCUUGGAAAGCCCCCGGCUCAACCGGGGAAGGUGGGUGCGAACUGGUCUUCUUGAGGGCGAUAGAGGGGGGCGGAAUUCCUGGUGUAGCGGUGAAAUGCGUAGAGAUCAGGAGGAACACCCGUGGCGAAGGCGGCCCCCUGGGUCGGCCCUGACGCUGAGGCGCGAAAGCGUGGGGAGCGAACGGGAUUAGAUACCCCGGUAGUCCACGCCGUAAACGAUGUCACUAGGUGUGUGUGGUAUCGACCCCGCACGUGCCGCAGCUAACGCAAGAAGUGACCCGCCUGGGGAGUACGGCCGCAAGGUUG